AUUGAACGCUGGCGGCAUGCUUUACACAUGCAAGUCGAACGGUAACAGGCCUUCGGGUGCUGACGAGUGGCGAACGGGUGAGUAAUGCAUCGGAACGUGCCCAGAGGCGGGGGCUAACGCAGCGAAAGCUGUGCUAAUACCGCAGGUGAUCUGAGGAUGAAAGCGGGGGACCAGGCAGCAAUGUUUGGCCUCGCGCCUUUGUAGGGGCCGAUGUCAGGUUAGGGAGUUGGUGGGGUAAAGGCCUAACAAGCCGGCGAACGGUAGCUGGUCUGAGAGGGCGACCAGGCACACUGGGACUGAGACACGGCGCAGACUCCUACGGUAGGCCGCAGUGGGGACUUUUGGACAAUGGGGGCAAGCCUAAUCCAGCAAUGCCGCGUGAGGGAAGAAGGCCUUAGGGUUGUAAAGCGAUUUUGUACGGAACGAAAAGGCUCUGGCUAAUACCUGGGGAUGAUGACGGUACCGUAAGAAUAAGCACCGGCUAACUACGUG
rnacentral:rRNA from 1 species